rnacentral:rRNA from 1 species
GUGAGGAAUUUUCCGCAAUGGGCGAAAGCCUGACGGAGCAAUGCCGCGUGAAGGAUGAAGGCCUAUGGGUUGUAAACUUCUUUUCUCAGAAAAGUAUUAUGACGGUAUCUGAGGAAUAAGCAUCGGCUAACUCUGUGCCAGCAGCCGCGGUAAGACAGAGGAUGCAAGCGUUAUCCGGAAUGAUUGGGCGUAAAGCGUCUGUAGGUUGUUUAAAAAGUAUUCUGUCAAAGAUUAGGGCUUAACCCUAGAUAGGCAGAAUAAACUUUUAAGCUAGAGUUUGGUAGAGGCAGAGGGAAUUCCCGGUGGAGCGGUGAAAUGCGUAGAUAUCGGGAGGAACACCAAAGGCGAAGGCACUCUGCUGGGCCAAUACUAACACUGAGAGACGAAAGCGAGGGGAGCAAAUGGGAUUAGAAACCCGGGUAGUCC